rnacentral:rRNA from 1 species
GAUGAACGCUAGCGGCAGGCUUAAUACAUGCAAGUCGAGGGGCAGCAUGAUUGUAGCAAUACAAUUGAUGGCGACCGGCAAACGGGUGCGGAACACGUACACAACCUUCCAACAAGUGGGGGAUAGCCCAGAGAAAUUUGGAUUAAUACACCGUAACAUAGCGAUGUGGCAUCACAUUGCUAUUAUAGAUUUUUCGCUUGUUGAUGGGUGUGCGGCUGAUUAGAUAGUUGGUGGGGUAACGGCCCACCAAGUCUACGAUCAGUAGCUGAUGUGAGAGCAUGAUCAGCCACACGGGCACUGAGACACGGGCCCGACUCCUACGGGAGGCAGCAAUAAGGAAUAUUGGACAAUGGACGCAAGUCUGAUCCAGCCAUGCCGCGUGAAGGAUUAAGGUCCUCUGGAUUGUAAACUUCUUUUAUAAGGGACGAAAAAAGGCUUUUCUAAGUCGUCUGACGGUACCUUAUGAAUAAGCACCGGCUAACUCCGUGCCAGCCGCCGCUGUAAAAC